GUAAAGAUGCCCUAGAAGGGGUUGUUGUCAUUCUGCUGUCCACAGAGUAAUCGGGGGCAUGGGGCUGAAAUCACGGGUAGACUUUUUCUUUAUAGGCACCAGGAAGGCCACGGCCUUGCUCUGUGCAUUCAGUAACUCUUACUGAACAUCUAAACUACUACAUACAGGAAGAUGAAGAUGAGUAAAACUCAAACUCUGUGUUCAGACGUGUGAAGGGCACAGACACUGAGAAAAAUCAGAACACCUGGUUUAUGAUCAGUGUCCUGCUGCAUCCUGCACUGGUGUGCAGAAGAACAGAGAGGCCUGCGGAGAGGAGCUGAGGACUGAAUGGAGUCGGAAAAGAUGUGGGUCAAAUGGGGAAUGGAAACAUUCCAGAGGAUGUGUGUGGGAAUGCAGAACGGAUGGUUGUAAACACUGCCACCACCUACAGUCAUUGCCAUCAAACCCCAUUCCUAUAUUUCCUCUAAAGCAUUCAGAAAAUGGAUAUUUUAAAAAUUA